rnacentral:rRNA from 1 species
GACGAACGCUGGCGGCGUGCCUAAUACAUGCAAGUCGAGCGCAGGAAAUCAUCCGAACCCUUCGGGGGGACGUUGAUGGAAUGAGCGGCGGACGGGUGAGUAACACGUAAAGAACCUGCCCUCAGGUCUGGGAUAACCACGAGAGAUCGGGGCUAAUACCGGAUGGGUCAUCGGACCGCAUGGUCCGAGGAUGAAAGGCGCUUCGGCGUCGCCUGGGGAUGGCUUUGCGGUGCAUUAGGUUGUUGGUGGGGUAAUGGCCCACCAAGGCGACGAUGCAUAGCCGACCUGAGAGGGUGAUCGGCCACACUGGGACUGAGACACGGCCCAGACUCCUACGGGAGGCAGCAGUAGGGAAUCUUCCACAAUGGACGAAAGUCUGAUGGAGCAACGCCGCGUGAACGAUGAAGGCCUUCGGGUCGUAAAGUUCUGUUGUAAGGGAAGAACAAGUGCCGCAGGCAAUGGCGGCACCUUGACGGUACCUUGCGAGAAAGCCACGGCUAACUACGUGCCAGCCGCCGCAGUAA